CUUCUCCUGGUGGGGAGAUAAUGUGGUAGUGUAUAUUUGUGUAUAUUUGUAUUUAUUGUAUCUUGAAUAUUUGUUGUAUUAUUGUCCCUUUAAUAUAUUAGUUAUUUAUGGUAUAUUUGGUGUUCGUUGUAUUGUCCCUUUAAUAGUCCAUCUCUAAGCUGGUUAAGAAUAUCUUUACAACAGCAAGUCUAAACUCUACUCACUUUUAACUCACUAAAAUAACCACAUCUCAGCUUCUCUUUCAAAUCUCACUUGCAUCUUAACCUUGUUACAAGGAGGAUCACAUUCUGUCACUUGUCUUUGUGUCAUACUGUGUCUGUAUGGUAGCCAUAUUUAAGACAUCAACCCUAUUAUAAACUCCUAUUUUAUAGGAGUUUUUUUUAUAUGUAUACUAAAUUGAUGAUCCACAAUAAAAUCCUGAACCCAUGACCUGGUG